AAUUUUGGACAAUGGGGGCAACCCUGAUCCAGCCAUCCCGCGUGUGCGAUGAAGGNCUNNGGGUUNUNAAGCACUUUUGGCAGNNNNNAGACGGCGCUGGUUAAUACCUGGCGAAACUGACGGUACCUGCAGAAUAAGCACCGGCUAACUACGUGCCAGCAGCCGCGGUAAUACGUAGGGUGCAAGCGUUAAUCGGAAUUACUGGGCGUAAAGCGUGCGCAGGCGGUUCGGAAAGAAAGGUGUGAAAUCCCAGGGCUUAACCUUGGAACUGCACUUUUAACUACCGGGCUAGAGUAUGUCAGAGGGGGGUAGAAUUCCACGUGUAGCAGUGAAAUGCGUAGAGAUGUGGAGGAAUACCGAUGGCGAAGGCAGCCCCCUGGGAUAAUACUGACGCUCAUGCACGAAAGCGUGGGGAGCAAACAGG
rnacentral:rRNA from 1 species